CCUACGGGAGGCAGCAGUGGGGAAUAUUGCACAAUGGGGGAAACCCUGAUGCAGCGACGCCGCGUGAGUGAAGAAGUAUCUCGGUACGUAAAGCUCUAUCAGCAGGGAAGAAAAUGACGGUACCUGACUAAGAAGCACCGGCUAACUACGUGCCAGCAGCCGCGGUAAUACGGAGGGGGCAAGCGUUAUCCGGAUUUACUGGGCGUAAAGGGAGCGUAGACGGUUGCACAAGUCAGGAGUGAAAUCUCGGGGCUUAACCCCGGAACUGCUUUGGAAACUGUGCGGCUGGAGUGCAGGAGGGGUAAGCGGAAUGCCUGGUGUAGCGGUGAAAUGCGUAGAGAUUAGAAAGAACACCGAUGGCGAAGGCAGCUUACUAAACUAUAACUGACGUUGAGGCUCGAAAGCGUGGGGAGCAAACAGGAUUAGAUACCCGAGUAGUC
rnacentral:rRNA from 1 species